CUCAGGAUGAACGCUAGCGGCAGGCUUAACACAUGCAAGUCGAGGGGUAUAGUUCUUCGGAAUUAGAGACCGGCGCACGGGUGCGUAACGCGUAUGCAAUCUACCUUUUACAGAGGGAUAGCCCAGAGAAAUUUGGAUUAAUACCUCAUAGUAUGGCGACAUCGCAUGAUGAUGCCAUUAAAGUCACAACGGUAAAAGAUGAGCAUGCGUCCCAUUAGCUAGUUGGUAAGGUAACGGCUUACCAAGGCUACGAUGGGUAGGGGUCCUGAGAGGGAGAUCCCCCACACUGGUACUGAGACACGGACCAGACUCCUACGGGAGGCAGCAGUGAGGAAUAUUGGACAAUGGGCGCAAGCCUGAUCCAGCCAUGCCGCGUGCAGGAUGACGGUCCUAUGGAUUGUAAACUGCUUUUGUACGGGAAGAAACA
rnacentral:rRNA from 1 species